GCCGGUGUAGUUCAACGGUUAGAAUAGGCCACUCAUAACGGCCAGAAAAUGGUUCAACUCCAUUCACCGGCA
rfam:Parcubacteria bacterium GW2011_GWB1_45_7 TX16_C0016, whole genome shotgun sequence.